UUAUUGAAAGGACGUUGACGUGGAAGCGACGUGCGCAACGAGCAAAAGAAGAGAAAAAAAAAAAAAAAGAAAGAGUGUAAUUCAUAAAGAUGGGAUUUUUAGAUUUACUCCGAUUGGACGAGGUGUACGCC
rnacentral:ribozyme from 1 species